rnacentral:rRNA from 1 species
AUUGAACGCUGGCGGCAUGCCUUACACAUGCAAGUCGAACGGUAACGGGCCUUCGGGUGCCGACGAGUGUCGAACGGGUGAGUAAUACAUCGGAACGUGCCCGAUCGUGGGGGAUAACGAGGCGAAAGCUUUGCUAAUACCGCAUACGAUCUACGGAUGAAAGCAGGGGACCGCAAGGCCUUGCGCGGACGGAGCGGCCGAUGGCAGAUUAGGUAGUUGGUGGGAUAAAAGCUUACCAAGCCGACGAUCUGUAGCUGGUCUGAGAGGAUGAUCAGCCACACUGGGACUGAGACACGGCCCAGACUCCUACGGGAGGCAGCAGUGGGGAAUUUUGGACAAUGGGCGCAAGCCUGAUCCAGCCAUGCCGCGUGCAGGAUGAAGGCCUUCGGGUUGUAAACUGCUUUUGUACGGAACGAAAAGCCUUCUUUUAAUACAGGAGGGUCAUGACGGUACCGUAAGAAUAAGCAACGGCUAACUACGUG